rnacentral:piRNA from 1 species
UGACUAUCAGAAGAUACCUUUCCUAGGGCA